rnacentral:tRNA from 1 species
GGGCUCGUGGUCUAGUCGGUUAUGACGUCGCCCUUACACGGCGGACGUCGCCGGUUCGAAUCCGGCCGGGCCCA